UUCCGGUUGAUCCUGCCGGAGGCCACUGCUAUUGGGAUCCGAUUAAGCCAUGCGAGUCGAGAGGGUUCGGCCCUCGGCAGACUGCUCAGUAACACGUGGAUAACCUAACCUUAGGUGGAAGAUAACCUCGGGAAACUGAGAAUAAUAUUCCAUAGAUCUAGGAUGCUGGAAUGCAUCUAGAUUGAAAGUUCCGACGCCUAAGGAUGGGUCUGCGGACUAUCAGGUUGUAGUCAGGGUAAAGACCUGACUAGCCUACGACGGAUAUGGGUUGUGAGAGCAAUAGCCCAGAGACGAUAUCUGAGACACGAUAUCGGGCCCUACGGGGCGCAGCAGGCGCGAAAUCUUCACAAUGUGCGAAAGCACGAUGAGGGGAUCCCAAGUGCUGGCACGUAAGUGUCAGCUGUUUCUUAGUCUAAAAAACUGAGAGAGUAAGGGCUGGGUAAGACGGGUGCCAGCCGCCGCGGUAAUACCUGCAGCUCAAGUGGUGGCCGCUAUUAUUGGGCCUAAAACGUCCGUAGCCUGUUUAGUAAAUGCUUGGGUAAAUUGUGUAGCUUAACUAUACGAAUACCGGGUAGACUGCUAAACUUGGGACCGGGAGAGGCUAGAGGUACUCCUGGGGUAGAGGUGAAAUUCUGUAAUCCUAGGGGGACCACCAGUGGCGAAGGCGUCUAGCUAGAACGGGUCUGACGGUGAGGGACGAAGCCCUGGGGCGCAAACCGGAUUAGAUACCCGGGUAGUCCAGGGUGUAAACGCUGCUUGCUUGAUGUUAGUUGGGCUCCGAGCCCAACUAGUGUCGGAGAGAAGUUGUUAAGCAAGCUGCCUGGGAAGUACGGUCGCAAGACUGAAACUUAAAGGAAUUGGCGGGGGAGCACAGCAACGGGUGGAGCGUGCGGUUUAAUUGGAUUCAACGCCGGGAAGGG
rnacentral:rRNA from 1 species